rnacentral:rRNA from 1 species
CCUACGGGGUGCAGCAGUCGAGAAUCAUUCACAAUGGGGGAAACCCUGAUGGUGCGACGCCGCGUGGGGGAAUGAAGGUCUUCGGAUUGUAAACCCCUGUCAUGUGGGAGCAAAUUAAAAAGAUAGUACCACAAGAGGAAGAGACGGCUAACUCUGUGCCAGCAGCCGCGGUAAUACAGAGGUCUCAAGCGUUGUUCGGAAUCACUGGGCGUAAGGCGUGCGUAGGCUGUUUCGUAAGUCGUGUGUGAAAGGCGCGGGCUCAACCCGCGGACGGCACAUGAUACUGCGAGACUAGAGUAAUGGAGGGGGAACCGGAAUUCUCGGUGUAGCAGUGAAAUGCGUAGAUAUCGAGAGGAACACACGUGGCGAAGGCGGGUUCCUGGACAUUAACUGACGCUGAGGCACGAAGGCCAGGGGAGCGAAAGGGAUUAGAUACCCUAGUAGUC